rnacentral:rRNA from 1 species
CUUGGUCAUUUAGAGGAAGUAAAAGUCGUAACAAGGUCUCCGUAGGUGAACCUGCGGAGGGAUCAUUAACGAAUGGCUUUUUUGGCCUUCGACUUCAAACCUGUGGAAGCGAGAUGUGCUUUGGCGCCAAGUCGCCUCAUUUAUGCCAAAAAGUAUUUGUCUGAAUCAAAAAAACGAGAAUCAAAACUUUCAACAAAGGAUCUCUUGGCUCUUGCAUCGAUGAAGAACGCAGCGAAGCGCGAAAUGUAGUGUGAAUCGCAGAACAUUGUGAAUCAUCGAAUCUUUGAACGCACAUUGCGCCUCCCUUUGCGGGGAGGCAUGCCUGUCUGAGCGUCAUUUAACUCAUACCUUCUUAGUGUGUUGGGCCUCGCCCCAGCGGCGUAGCCUCAAAGUCAUUGGUCUAAAGGCGGACAAGAUCCAUUGGGACCGACCGUUUGGGACCAUAAACCUCUGACUUGACCUCAGAUCAGGUAGGGCUACCGCCUGAACUUAAGCAUAUCAAUAAGCGGAGGA